GUUGGGUGCAGGGCUGAACAAGGUGAACUGGACCUUCACGGCCACCGUCUGUCUGCCCAGCCAGCCACCUGAAUGCAGGAGCUUCAGUUUGGAGGCAGCGUCAGACCUGCAGAAGAGUAGAGGACAACUCAGUGAUGCCAACGGUAGCACUUGGUCCUGAGUAGCAGCCCAGUUGACCACAUGUCCCUGGAGGCGUCAUAGGAACUAAGGCAUUGGAUUGCGGAUAAGUGGAUGUUCUGCUCCCAGACAAGAAUAAGCGAAGACAUUCUGGGACAUUUCUUUUAGUGGGUUAUAGGGACACGGUCAAGCCGAUCGACGACGUGGUAACACCUGCUGUGACCAGACCACGCUGCCUGGUGAUGGCUGCCUUCCUUCAUUUUCCCUUGAGGAUCUUCCCCCUUCUGAGUAGCUUGACCUCCAUCCCUCGUACCGAACAAAAGAGCUUUCUCGGUUCCAUGAAACCCGCUGCUUUCACUUAAAAGAUCAAACUCUUUUCCCUGAGAAUCGUAGUGGACGCUGGCAGUAGGUCUGUGGCCUACAACACAAGAAGAAGGGUCAGAUAGGGAGAAAAAUGUUGUGAGAACAAAGACAUAGAGAAAGGGAAAGAGAGAGAAAGAAGAUAGAUGCUGGAGGGGUAACCUGGUAUUUCUUCCUCCAGGCUUCCUGCGCCCACUGCUGAAGACUGCUCCAAGAGAGAUGGGGCUCAUAUAUACUGUCAGUCACUGAAAGGGCAGGAGACAAAACAACGAUGAAAUGAGGAGAAAUAGAAAGGGAGGUGAGGAGACAAGAAAAGAAAAGAGUAAAUAAAAAAUUGUAAUGAUGGAUAAAGCGGAUUAAUUAUGUUCUGAUAAAAACAGAAUCAAAUUUAUGUCAUACUGUAAGAAAAACUGAGAAUGUGAUCUAGGUGGGCAUCAUUUUCAU